GCUGGCUGGGGUUAAACCAUGACUCCUAUCUAUCACACAAUGUCUCAGCUGGAUGGUCUGUAACACCUCCCGAGAAGAAUAUGAGUCCUCUGCUUGCUCACUCACUCAGCAUAAUGAAAAGAAGAGAUGAAAUAAAGUCAGCACUCAAAAUAGACUCUCGACCACUGGAUGCUGCUCUUUGCAUCAGGCUAUGAAAGGAGAGCCAUUCCCACUGUGUAACUCUGCCGCAGUACGUUUUGUUACUCAUGUACAGAUCCAAGAAUAAAUUUUGGCCCUGACCAUGGAAUAUUCACUCACUUUCAAAUACGGAUGUGACCUGCCUUCUCCUUCUGCAACUAACAGGGUGACCAGAGGCAGUGGAAUGUACACCAGGAUUGGAAAGAAUAAAACCAGAGGGAAAGCAAGCUGUCAAGAGAACAGUGUACUGAAGAGGAAAAAAUGAUCUCUGUUGCACAAAGAGCAGAGGCACUGUUCUGCAGCCCGAGAGUCCUGUUAGUACAGAAUUUGAUUCACAAUUUCCCACUCUGCUACUGCUGCCUGAAAGCACCUAAAGCUUUGCGUCUGGGCAUCUCCACGAGCAUCCAAAUCUUGAUCCACUCACUCUUAGUACCUGCACUUGACGCAGAAGGUGUUUUUCCCCUUCCAGAGCAGGCUCCUGGUCCUAGAUGUGCUCCAGAUACUUAACCGGCUCAGGAAACAGAGCGCAAGUCUCUUGUCUCCCAUGUGACCGUGCUAACCACUGAGCUAAACAGUCUGUUCAGGUUCGCUCAGUCUCCCUGACCUAGUAAAUGUUCGUAAAUCCCACGCGAAGCGUAACAGCAAGAGACCUUGGAAGAGCCCCACCCCAAAGCCAGUCACGCAGCAUGUUGUGACAGCCCUCGGUGGCUCAGGCCGGGAAUUAAGGACCGCUGCGGCUUUCCCAGGUGAAUCAGCAGCAGGAAUUCCUUUGGGAAGAGCGCAAUUACCAGGGCUGGAAUUUAACCAGAAUUAACACCCAGCUCCUGCGAAAAUUCCCAUCCUUAAGAAUCGCUGCCGGUCAGGACGUUGGUUUUUGCACCUUGCUGGGAAAAGAGCAAGCAGGUGUCUUCAGUGCUCACCCCAGGGACUCGGCGUGGGUCGAGCAGCGGGGCGAAGCACUGCCGGCUGUCUUGCCGGCACCCCCUUCAGAAGAAGCUCUCCACCAUCUUCCCCCCAAAACUCCUGCCUCACCCCAGCCUAGUUCAGGCUGGUAACUUCCACUGGACUUUUUAACCACAGGCCGAAGUGCUGUACAGCUAUGGAAGUACUUUAUAAAAGAUUUUCAGUCAUACAUCCCGAAGAAAUACUGAGAGGGCUUGAAAACUUUGUGCUUCCCUGCCCUUUCCCACGUGCCGCGUGACCGAUUUGCAGUACCAGUGUGAAAAUGGACUGAACCAUCUCUGCACUUUCCCCGGCCCCAUUUUCCGGAGGCAGACCUUUCUAGGAAAAGCAUUUCCCUUUGGCCACUGCUGACCAAAUGGAUAUGGCUUGCAGCAGGGAGCAAUUGGAGCUAGCCCCUCGGUUUCCCUGCACGGACGCCUGACAAUCUCUGUCCCAGCCCUCUCUGUUCGUGGAGUGCUAUUCUUCAGCAGCAGGUAGAGGACUACCUGUGAUCAUGGAGAACUGUGGGGAUAAAAAUGGAUUGAAAAGUAUUAUUUGUAGCUCAGAAAGAAACGUGGUGAGACGAUAAACAAUCCCCCUGUUUGAAUCCCUGUGUUUCUUUCAAAGAAUCAACAAAAUCUAAUGAGCAAUUAUUAUUGUACAGCUCUCUCGCAUUCCUAGUGGAAAUAGUUGCACAGAUUUCUUGUACAGCUCUCUCGCAUUCCUAGUGGAAAUAGUUGCACAGAUUUCAAAAUCUCUCCCACUUCCUGAGCC